rnacentral:rRNA from 1 species
UACGGGGGGGGCAAGCGUUGUUCGGAAUUACUGGGCGUAAAGGGCUCGUAGGUGGCCAACUAAGUCAGACGUGAAAUCCCUCAGCUUAACUGGGGAACUGCGUCUGAUACUGGAUGGCUUGAGUUUGGGAGAGGGACGCGGAAUUCCAGGUGUAGCGGUGAAAUGCGUAGAUAUCUGGAGGAACACCGGCGGCGAAGGCGGCGUCCUGGACCAACACUGACACUGAUGAGCGAAAGCCAGGGGAGCAAACGGG